GGAGCUGGGAUGUAGCUCAGUGGUAGAGCACAUGCUUUGCAUGUAUGAGGCCCUGGGUUCAAUCCCCAGCGUCUCCA